rnacentral:pre_miRNA from 1 species
ACUCGGAUGGAUAUAAUACAACCUGCUAAGUGUUCUCUCGCACUUAUCAGGUUGUAUUAUCAUUGUCCGUGUC